GACCAAUAUUAAUUAAACAAAUAUGAUUUCUCCUUUAAUAUAUUAUUCUUAUAACAUAUUAAUAAAUCAUAAUAACCUCUCUCUCUAUUUAUUUCUCCAAUCAAGUUGCUUUGGUGAAGGCAACCCAAAAGGACCAUGCACCAUCGGGUCAAGUACAUACCAAAAUAGUUAUGGACUUAGACACUAAUCCAACAGUCUCCCACUUGGAUAAGUCUAAUAACUAUUAUGCGUAUGACUUCAGAUCCUGAUCUGCAAUCGUAGCUUUCCAAAGCCGCUGUCAACUCUGAUCCUAUCAGAUACGCGUGUCCUUAGAUAAGGGAUCAUAUAUUCCUCCAUUCUAGAUAUCAUAUGAGAUAUGAUUUCAAAUCAUUCUCUUUGUACUAUAUCUCGAUUCCCGAUUUAUGACGACUGACUAAUUGAACAAAUCAAAUUAGCCCUAGCCCGGCCGAGCAUUUACGUUUGUCAUCACUAAAUCAUCGAGGGGCCCAAAGAUAUCGCUUUUAUCCUACUUUGGAUAAAAGGAACGGAUAAACUUUGAUACAAUGCUUGCUUGCACUCACUCACCGAAUCACACACAACAAUAUGUUUUAUAACACCAAGUUACUAGUGCGUUUACAUAUUAUCAAUGUGCAACCGAUUUGCAAGAUACAACUCACACAUCUCGGUUUCAAGAAUAUAAGAUGUUAUCGUCUCACCAAUCACUCGUGAUACAAUUCAUGGAGUGAUCCAAGUGAGCGUGGGUUUAAUCCAAUGCUCAAAUCAUAUUCAUAAGCACUCAUGAACGUUGCAGCAAACAUUUGCUUAUGUCUAAUACUCUUUUAGACAAUCCACACACCAAUUCACGACAGUCUUCAUUCAUAUCUACUUCCAACAUAUGAACGACUGUGGCCCGUUCGAAUAAUUCGAUUAUUCUUAAUAAACUCAAUUAUUCUGGAAGUCAAAACAUGCAAAUGUGAAACACAAGAAUAAUACUAAUCCCAUAUGGCCUCAAACCUUUGAGUAUAAAUAAAACACCUUUUAUUUAUCACCAUAUUGAUUACUCAUUAUUUGUCGUUUCGGGUAAUCAACUUCUUACUUGAAUUACAACACUUGUCCCAUGCUCCUAGCAUGCACACAAUGUUUACCUAUGGUUCUUACUUUGUGAAAUAGAUCACAUUGAACACAUUUCCAAUCAUUCUCAUUUCACAACUCCAAAUCCUUUUUCUAAGUGAAAGAAUAUCAAAUUCUUGCUACUUAUAGAAUAUGCUAGAUUCUAACAUUCUAUGCAACUUAUCCUUUCGUAAUGUCACUGCACCAAAGUCACAAAGACUAUUGCCAAUGAUAUUACAAAGUCCUCUAUCGGAGAUUGUUACAAGACAAUUCCAUAGACGUGAUGUCUCUCACUCAAAGUACAUUCUUUGAACAUCCUUUUGCAUAGAAGUUUCUAAUCUAGUCAUAGAUUUCUCAAUAUUCAAUUCCCAAUAUGGACACACUUCCAUAUGUUCCAUAUGACAACUCAUUCUUAAUAGAAUCUUAUCUAUUCGUAAUGAUGUCGAUAUGGUCCAUCCAAUAUGGAAACAUUUCCAUAUUUUCCAAUACUAUACUUCCAACUACUCACAAGCGACCAAUCCUCGUCGAACUUGGAUUGUCCUUUGAUAGUUGUUUAAUUAUUUUAGUCAAAACCAAUUCUAGUCCCUUUUCCCUCUAAAUGCGCUCGACAUUUGGAAAAUUUUAGAAUGGUCAAACAUUAAAGCAUUUGCAAUCGAUCCUAUACCCGAAGCGUAUGGGACACGACGCAUAAUGUUUUAUUUGCUAUGUUCUCAAAAUUCGAAUUGUGAAGAGGGAUGCCGUAAUCAUAAUCGAAAUUUUAAGAACACACUUUGUACCUUUGACUAAAUUUUAUUAACAUUUCUCAACCUAAACCUUUAGAUUUGAAAUGAAGCAUAAUAUUCUCUCCCUUAAUUAUAGCAAAACAACUCUUCAACUAUUGCGACUUUGCAAAGUAUGACUCUUGUUUUCUAUAAUUAAUAUUGCUAACCUUGCAAUACUUUCCUUAAUAAUCAUACAAUCAUAACUUUUAUGCUCCCACUAUCUUGAUGAUUAUUAUAAAACAUAACACUUAUGCUCCCACUAGCUUCGACAUGUAUUCAUAAACAUCUUAACUUUCAGAAAACAAUACUUAUUGAAUUUCUUAAGUUCAUGUUUCUAAUACUUAGUGCUUUGAUAAUCUUUUAUCAAGGCUUCUUGAACUUAUACACCUUUGCCUUCGAUAGUUCAUAUGUGUGUCUAAACAAUUAAGACUAAUUGCCAAACCUCACAAUUCAAAUUAUGGAAAGGGAUGCCGUAACCAUAAUUGAAUUCGAGAAUGCAAUUUUACAAUCACUAUCUUCUUAAAAUCUGUCUUAGUGAAAGCAUUUCCUCACAAUCAUUUUCAUGAAGGAGGAAAUCUUAUGACACUUAGAUUUAAACGGUGUAUUUGUUCCUAUCCAUGUGAAUUUGUCAAAACCAAAGUUUACGACAAAUUCAAACUCUUAUGGAUCGAACUUUCUUGAUCUCGAUUUCUUGCCUUUAUGGUAGCACAGCUGCCCACCAUGUCUUCCAAGUAGUUAAGCAGCUCACCCUUUCCUAUCAAUGUACCUUUCAUUGAUUAAGGUGCUUUGCCUUUUAUGCGUUCAAAAUGAGAACUCAUAGAACUCACAUGCAUAAUUAACUCGAUUGGAUUGGCACAGAAUCAAAAUAAUGUCAACACGAUAGGUUGUAAACCUCAACUCGUGUGCUAGUGAUGAUCGAUAAGGUUUAUUUGAUUUGUUCUUGAAACCUUUCAAGACCAUUAAGACUCCCACUGACUCCUUGACAUAUAAGAUUCUCUUGUCAAAAAACAUUUCUUGACAAACAAAUAUUCAAGAGUUAGUGUAGCUUUUAUCAAAACACUUCAUAAAUUGGUCCUAGUUGGUCUUUGUCUUAUCCAAGACAUCACAACUUUCCACAUUUAAUGAAAGUUACAAACCUUCUUAAUACCUUUCACUCAAUGUCACAAUCUUAACUUUAAGACUUGUUAUUGGAACGAAGUAUGAUUGACUUAUUGAUUUAACCAUUUCUUCAAUUCUUGAUUCCUCUUCUUAGACAUACAAUUGUACUAAGACUCACUUAGAGGAUCAAUUGAGAUAUGGUUCUUAAUCAUUAAGACCUAUCAUAAAGCAUAAAAGGUACUCUCCCUUCUUCUUAGAAUGGAGAAACUUUUAUCUUUCUGCCUACUUGAUUCUUCUUAUUCGUUCUGCUAUUGAUUUAAACCUUUUCAAUCAAUUCAGAAUUACACUUAAUCUUAUAAGUAUAAUCAUAUUUACUAAACCUUUAGUAAAUCAUGACGAAUAUCUUUGUUACUCUUAUGGUGGACUUGAUCAACACGCAACUUUGUGUACUCGAUCUCCUAGUCCUUCACUUGACACUUUGUCAAUGAAUUAGUCUAAUUUCCAAAUAUGAAAUUUCUCAUUCAUCGUGCAACCAAGUUGCAUGAUUCCAAGUUUCUGUCCAAUUGAAACUUGGGCGAUGAGAAACUCUCCCUAUUUGGUAAAUUCUCGACUUUCCAUAAAUAACAUAAUAAGAACCAAAUCCAUUAUUGCUAAUAAUAGAAACAUUUUAACAUCAAUUUUUCAUACACGCCAUUGUAAGGAUAAAUAAAUAAAAUUUAAAAUCAAAAUUUAUUUUAUUGCGGAAAAAUUUGUCCUUACAAUGCAACUCAUUGAAAAACUUAUGCUAAUACAUCUUUCUUAGCAAUCUAAUUCUAACUCUAAGUAGUAGCUCAAGAAUCUAAUCUUCGAGAAAUGCGAUCGAAAUCCAUUCCUUCACGGUUAGAUUCUGCUCACUUCUUCCCUUAAGCUUCCUUUCUUUUCUUCGAUCCUACAAAACAUCAAUUGUAAUCUUAUCACAUUAUGUAUUAAGAAUCUAGAAUAGAAGCUUAAAAGAGUUAGUUAAUGGAUUUUACCUAUAUUAGAGCCAUACGUUUCGACUCUCCCAUCUCUUAGAUCUCUUAGGUAAAUGGGGCAGCUUCGUCUCCAAUGCCCUUUCUCUUGGCAAUAAAAGCAAAUUGACUCUUUUGGAACAUGACAUGGAACUACUUCAGACAUUGCCUUUCUCUUAUGAUCAAACUUUUCGAUCAUAGCAUGUCUUUCGUUGCCAUUGUCUAUAUCCAUAGAGGUCUUGAAGGCAGAUUCACCAAUCAACUUUGCUUUUCUAUUGCGCCAAACCAUUGCUGAUUCAGCAGCAAUAAGCAUAUAGGUGAGAUCUAUAAGGGUCACGUCGCGGUUCAUCAUAUAGUACUCUCUUACGAACUCACUAUAUGAGUUAGGAAGUGACUGAAGAACCCAAUCAACAGCCAUUUCCUCACAGACAACGGAUCCCAACAUUCUUAACCUAUCAAUGUGUGACUUCAUCCCUAGGACGUGUGCACACACCGACUUUCCUUCUUUAUGUUUACUUGCCAAAAGGGCUUGAGUGAUCUUGAACUUUUCAAGCCUUUGAACUUGUGGGUUAGGGAGAAUAAUUGGAGGAGGUGGAGGAAGUGAAGCAUGAUUUCUUGUUCCUCGAUCGAAUCGUGGAAUAUCAUCUUCAUGUGGAAAGCUUGUUCCACGGGAUUUGGGAAGACCAUAGUUGUCGAACUUUGACAUCUACAAAACGGGAGAAAACGAAUUCAAGUUAGUUGAUUGAUUGAGUCCUUAGUAAAUCACCCAAAUGAGAUACUAAGGCUAGGACCCAACACAAUAUUCUACAACUCGGGAGAGGGAUGCCGUAACCCAAAUUGCAGAACAUUUGAAGGUAAGUGAAUGACGAUUCACUAAUUUCCACCAUGAAAAACGAAAAAGAAAUUUAAGUUUUAAAUCUAUGAAAACUCCUAGAUCCUUUGAGAUUCAUUGAACUUUCAAUGGCAUGUUUAAAUCUCGAUAUGCCCCUCUUGUUUGUGACUGGGAUGCCGAGGAUCACAAAGCGGGUGUGAAUAACCAUGCAAACUUACAUGGUGCCCUCACAUGUUACAGUCACCUAUUCGAUGUGCCGGUAAACCACACACGCUCCACCGAACUAUGACAAACAUUGAGUCACCCUUUGCUACCUUUGCUUAGAACCAUUUAGUGUGCCGGUAAACCACACACGCUCCACUAACGUCUUCGCAAGGGCACAAAGUGUAAUUUCAUGGAAUUGCAUCAAUUCACUUUUGCCUAAGUAACUAAGAUUGGGAAUUUUAUGAAAACAUUUAGUUACUUUUAUACUUCAUUAUACUUAUAAUGGAAGGUUUCGUCCUAUCCUACCCGUUCGGCUAACGACCCUCCACUAGUCAAGAGUGCGGUGGGUAAGAGUGGAUACCCAUUCAAUCGCCAUUUUAUAGGCAAUUUCCUUAAACACCCCUUAUAGACCAGCUUCGUGAAUGAGGCCUACUAACGGUAAGACUGACUUUUACUCAUACAUAUAUAUAAUGUUAGACUUUUAAUGUUAUAUAUAGUAUAGGGUGUAUUUUACACUUUUAAAAUACUAGGUGGUCAAAUUUAACAAUUAUACUUUUAAUUCAAUUAAAUUGUAAACCUAAACUUUUAUGGAUUUAUUAAACCUCUUUUAAUUAUACACCUUAAUUAAUUAAUAAAACCAUAAGGGUGUGAUUUGAACUUUUUCAAAACUAUACUAGAGUUUUAGAAUUUAACAUUCCUAAUUAAACUUUUAAUCAACUUUUAAAUUCCAAAACUUGAGGGCAAGUUUUGAAACAUUUCAACACAUUAGGGUUUAGAAUUUAAAUAUACAUCAAAAUUAAACCAUUUAAUCAAAAUUUAAAUUCCAAAACUUGAGGGCAAGUUUUGAAACCUUUUUCAAAACAUUAGGGUUUCAACUAUUUAAAUUUCAAAACAACAAAACUUUUGGGGUCAAAUUUAAACUAUAAAACCUAAAGGGGAAAAUAUGAAACUUUUCAUAACAACAAGGAUCAAAUAACAAAUAAUCUAAAUUAACAUUUAAUCACAUAAUUAUCCAUAUUUGAUUUAUUUAAUGAUUUCUUGCAAAACAAUUUAUCAAUUUAGUCAAAAUAAUUAAUCAAUUAUCACAUAAGGAAACAAUUAUCUUAUUAAUUGAUAAAUAUCUUCAAUUAGAUCAAAAAUAUAGUCAAAUAUAUCAUAAAAUCGGAUUAAUAUUGAUCUAACAUGAUAAGGUAACUAUCCAUAAGCAAAAACAGCAAGAAAUCGCGAAAUACCCUCCAUCUGACGAGUUGACUCGUCGAGUCAGGCUUGGACUCGUCGAGUCUGCAUGGACUCGGCGAGUUCAGCCAUGGACUCGGCGAGUCCAGCCUCCAGAAACCCAAAAAACGAAUUUUCCAGUUAUACAAUGCAUCAAUACAAUUGAAACCAAGCUAGGCUCUGAUACCACUGAUGGGUUUUGGUCAUAAGACAUCCUAUGUGCUCAUACAAACCCUAAUGCUUGGAUCUAGGUUUCUCUAUUGUACAUGCUUUGAAUCCAAGACUAUAAACCCUAAUUCUAGCAUAUGGAAAUCAAUAUUAACAUAUAAUUAGGUUUAAGAUAUUACCUUGAUUGUUAUGUAGCAAUAACAAUCCCAAUUCCUCCUUGAAUUGACUUUGGAAGGCUUAGAGUCACAAGUGUCACUCCUCUAAUGGCUUACAAACACCAAGAGCAAAUGGAGAAGGUAUAAGGAGAGAGGGGAGGUAUUAGAAUUCGUCUCUAGGACCUCUUGGGAAGGCAUGGACGAAUUCAUGAGCCUUGGGGUCUUUAUAUAGGUGUAGAGAUUAGGGUUUCAGUCCUUAUCCUUAUCUAGUUACUUGCCCAUCAAGCAACCAUAAGAUAAGCCUAUGAAAACCCUAUCUUUUGGACCUUGGACGAUUUUAAGGAUAUCCUUAUCCUUGAAUUCGUCCAUCCUUUAACAAGGAUAACCAUUGCCCUAUUUUGUAACUAUCACAUAAUUACAAUUCAGCCCCUCUAGUUUAAUUAAUUACAUUUGAUCACAAAAUUAAUUCUUAAUUAAUUAUUGACCAAUAUUAAUUAAACAAAUAUGAUUUCUCCUUUAAUAUAUUAUUCUUAUAACAUAUUAAUAAAUCAUAAUAACCUCUCUCUCUCUCUCUAUUUAUUUCUCCAAUCAAGUUGCUUUGGUGAAGGCAACCCAAAAGGACCAUGCACCAUCGGGUCAAGUACAUACCAAAAUAGUUAUGGACUUAGACACUAAUCCAACAAGUUGUACCUUUGACCAUGUGAUCAGUGAAAGAACUUAGAUUCACGGUGGUACUGGUAUGUAGCCUCUAGCCAUGUAGAGCAUGUGUCGUAAGAUAAUGACUUCUAUUCUAUGGCAUUGGCAGAAGGUUAGAUAGGGCUAAAAGCAUGAAAUAUACCAAAAUGAUUAAUCAAAAAGUGUAUGUCUUCUGUGCCAAUUGGGCUGAAGCUUUAUUGAUGUAUAUUAGGUAUAGAAAUUGUUAUGUCUCAUUGAUUGAUAUGGAAAGCUUGGCGUAUGAUUCACAUAUGCCUUUGUUGUUCCUUGUUCCCUUUGCUUCUUCCAUAUUGAGGUAUAUAUAUGGCAUAACGUUAUAUUGUAUCUAUUAUUGAACUCACUAAGCGUCACCGCUUAUCCCUCUCAGUGUUUAACAAUUGCAUGAAAUGAGAAUCCAA
rnacentral:lncRNA from 1 species